UUUUUUUUUUUUUUUUUAAUGACUGCAGUAUUCAUUUUAUUUUUAUAUUAUUUAUUUAUUCUUCCUUAGUUUCUUGAGAUUAUCAUCCGCUGAGGGUGGAAGGGGAGUGAGCAGACACACUCAGGAGGUGUCUUGAGAUUAUCAUCCGCUGAGGGUGGAGCUGAGGGUGGAAGGGGAGUGAGCAGACACUCGGGAGGUGUCUUGAGAUUAUCAUCCGCUGAGGGUAGAGCUGAGGGUGGAAGGGGAGUGAGCAGACACUCGGGAGGUGUCUUGAGGCUCAGGGAGUUAUCAAUUAUAGAAUGUUGUUGAGUUGGAGGAGGUGUCUUGAGGCUCAGGGAGUUAUCAAUUAUAGAAUGUUGUUGAGUUGGAGGAGGUGGCUGGUGGCCCAUCCUGUUUUUUAAAGUUUCAGCUGUG
rnacentral:lncRNA from 1 species